rnacentral:rRNA from 1 species
CCUACGGGCGGCAGCAGUGAGGAAUAUUGGUCAAUGGACGAGAGUCUGAACCAGCCAAGUAGCGUGAAGGAUGACUGCCCUAUGGGUUGUAAACUUCUUUUAUAUGGGAAUAAAAUGUUCCACGUGUGGGAUUUUAUAUGUACCAUAUGAAUAAGGAUCGGCUAACUCCGUGCCAGCAGCCGCGGUAAUACGGAGGGUCCGAGCGUUAUCCGGAUUUAUUGGGUUUAAAGGGAGCGUAGGUGGAUUGUUAAGUCAGUUGUGAAAGUUUGCGGCUCAACCGUAAAAUUGCAGUUGAAACUGGCAGUCGUGAGUACAGUAGAGGUGGGCGGAAUUCGUGGUGUAGCGGUGAAAUGCUUAGAUAUCACGAAGAACUCCGAUUGCGAAGGCAGCUCACUGGACUGCAACUGACACUGAGGCUCGAAAGUGUGGGUAUCAAACAGGAUUAGAUACCCCUGUAGUC